rnacentral:rRNA from 1 species
UACGUAGGGACCGAGCGUUGUCCGGAAUUAUUGGGCGUAAAGAGCUCGUAGGCGGUUUGUCGCGUCUGCUGUGAAAACCUAAGGCUCAACCUUGGGCUUGCAGUGGGUACGGGCAGACUAGAGUGCGGUAGGGGUGACUGGAAUUCCUGGUGUAGCGGUGGAAUGCGCAGAUAUCAGGAGGAACACCGAUGGCGAAGGCAGGUCACUGGGCCGCAACUGACGCUGAGGAGCGAAAGCAUGGGGAGCGAACAGG